GCGAAACAGAACGGGGAGGGGGGUUCGGUUUAGAGAACAGCUGUAGCUCUUGGCCACCUGGGGGGCCAGGGUCCCAGUCCUGACGACGACGACGACAAAAAGAGAAAAUGCUGCUAUGGCAUUCCCUGUAGCCCACGUUGCUAGGAGAGGAUGAAUUCAGGAGCUGUGGGCUUUCCAGCAUUUCAGCCAGACCCUGUCAACACCUCUUAAAUAACCAGUGGCACUCACAGCCAGGCAGCAGAUUGUCGAUGGAUUUGGAUAAGUCAUAAUACAGGCACGCGCAAAGCUGCUUUAAAGACAAUAUUUCAAGGAGAAAACAGCAUAUGGGAAAUGCGAUCCUCUCCAUAAUUAGCAAUUAUUUAGUGAGGUGGCUUUUCCCCCUCGUCUGAUUGAAGAGCCACUCAAAUCAUGUUUUCAUUUCCAGUGCAUCUGGGGGAGGAGCGAAGCAUUCAAAAUAUUGCUUCAUGAAGAAGAGACAUAAAAUGAGCCCAAACUGGAGAAUGUGUGUAGAA